rnacentral:lncRNA from 10 species
GCUUGCUGUCAAUAAAUAUGUGGGUAAAUCUCUGUUUGGGGCUCUCAGCUCUGAAGGCUGUGAGACCCGAUUUCCCACUCCACACUCUGUAUUUCUGUGUGAGUGUCUUUAAUUCCUCUGGCGCCGCUGGGUUAGGGUCUCCACGACUGAGCUGAUCUCAGUAUCUACCACAUUCUGCUUUAUUCUCUUCUCUAGGGUAAGAAAAAUCACAAUACAUGGGUAUUCAAUAAAAUUCAAUUAAUUUAAGCCUGACUCUUGAGAAUGUGCAAUUGAAGGUUAUGAAUGUGUCACACCUAAGGUGGUGGUAGAAGUCUCUGGCACAUGGAAAAUGCCUGUUUUAACUUUUAGCUAUUUUUUUCAGGUUUUUGUCAUUAGAAUAUUUCUUCUGUUUCUACUGCAAAUAACUAUCAAAAAGGAAAAGAACAACUAGGAUGGCCUCCCCUGUUUAUCAUUGGCCCUACAAUUUUCUAGGAGUAAUAUCUUUUUGGAAUUAUGUAAUGUCCUCUGCUAAUGACAGUGUAUAGAUGCUAUUACAUUUCCUUGGGGGACAAAGUACUGUUGUCUGGAAGCUUUGAGAUUAAUGUAACACAAAGUAAAUAAGGAAGCGUUUUGCAUAUUCUUAGAUUUUUACAUUUUUAUUUUAAAACAGAGAAUUUCAUAUUGAUUAACACCUACUACUAAACAGAAUGAUGCAUUAAUUAAAUGCCUUGUCCUAACUGUUAUAAGCUCUGUUAGAAAAAUAAACAUCUCACCACAAACUACAGUGUCAGCUCUUUAAUAAAUACAUAAAACAGAAGUUAGUAGUCAAUCAGAGUUAUAUGAACAGGUUCAUAGUAUAUUAUGUGAAAGUAUCAUAUUCUCCAAUAUUCUGUAUCAUUUAAGACAAUUUAAGUUACGUAUAAUUCAAAGCCAGAAAUAAUAAGAAAUAUGUUCAGUGAUAAUUUGCUUCUUUCUUAGAGCUAUUUUAUAUUCAAAUAUUUAAUUUAAAAAUAUAUUCUAUAUUAAAUUUAUUUUUACAAACGCAGUAUUCGUUAGGUGAAACAAAAUAAGUUUUUAUGUUACUGAUAAGUUUAAUACAUUUCUAAUUUUUUUCAGAAGUUCAAGAAACCAUAAUGAAGUAGCUAAUGUAAAAUAGUUUAAAAGCUAUGUUAAAUAUACACAAAAUGAAUUUCUAUAUUAAUAUGUGCAAAUGUAUAUUUUCUUAUAAUUUAGAAUUAAAGUACUUUAUACUCAAUAUUCUUAAUAAAAUUUAUGUACCAUACUUGUCAUUGCGUAGACUUCUUAUCAAAAUUUCACAUUUAUCUGUAGGAAAAUGUAAAGUUGGUAAAAAUUGUUUACACAAAUCACACAUUUUCCAUCCUUGACAAUUGCAGUGUUUUUUUUUUAAAUAUUGCUGUAUUAGACAAUUUUAACUGAAGUAGGUUGUAGAGGCUAGAAGAAACCUGAUUAAUAGAGUUAGCUUACAAAGAUAAAUUUUAUGCAGAAAAGUAUUCCAGGUAGAUAAAAGAGUAGUGUUAUUACUCUCAGGUUUACAUUAACAGCUGCCCAGAUAGCUGAACAAUUAUUUCAUAUAAUUCAAAUAAUUUAAAUAUGCAGUUUUAUAACAGUCGUUACAUAAGCUUGAAGUUAAAGUGAUCAGAGCCAAGGGGGAAAAACCCACAAAUGAUAAAGAAGAAUAAAAAGUAAGAGGACUCUAGAAGAAAGUUGUUUUUCACAGCACUGAUUGUUUUUAUCAUAUUUUUCUCCUGCCAUUGAUACAAGACAUGUAAGAUGCUGCAAAACCUAACUAUGACAGUUCCAUGUAAUAUUUUUCCAGUUAAUUUUGUUUAAAAGUGAGAUGAUAAUAUAAAAGGAUCUCAUAUAAUAGAAUAAAAAUAAUAAAAAUUUGUUAAUGAAACGUAGACAUACCUACCCAUUCUUGUUAGUUAAGUUAGGGUUUGCUGAAAUCAUUCGCACUCACGUAAAGUAUAAAUGGGGACCUGAAAGAGCUUUUGUAAACUCAAGAUAUGCGGGAUCUGAGCUGAUAAUCAGUUAGGCUCCAUGUUGAGUUGUGCGUGACUCAGUUGUCCUUAAAUUUCGCCUUCAUAUUUUGUCAUAAAUGGGCUCUCAAAUCUUUAUAAGAAAACAAAAUUUGCCUAGAUGCAUAAACAUUUAGGCUUAUUAAGCUUGAAGCUUUAGGAAAUCUCUUGGGAAGAGUGAGUGGAAAAAACAGGAGUAAGAAAAGGAAGAAAAAGCCUUUGAGUCUAAUCUACUCUACCAGGUUCCAGGAAGAAUAUAAUUCUACAGAGAAAAUUCUUCAUAAUCUAUCAUAAUAUAUUUCAGUGUCUGAUGGCUGACUCUUGUCUUGCAUAAAGAUAUCUUCAGUGGAUAUUAAGUAAAUAUUAAAAAUAUAUUUCAGAUUCAUUCUUUGAAGGAUUGCAUCUCAUGCAUCCACAAAUUUUAAUGUUGAGUUUUGGAAAAUUGCCUCCAGAGAUAUCUACUGUGUUUAAUCUUAGAUUUUUUUUUUAUUUUAAUAAACCAAAGAUAAACUGAACAUUUAAGACAUAAUCAGAUUUUUAGUGAAUUUUUAAGUCCUCCAGAAAAGUCUAUGACUUAAUAAAUAUUAGCAAGUUUCCAAAAAUAUAACAAAUGUUUAUAAAUACGUGUGCACUGCAGUGCAAUGGUGUCCCCAGAGAAAUAAAAUGCAUAACAAAGCAAAUGUUAUGUUGUAGUGUAUGUAUGGCACAUUUAUAAAUCAUUACAUACUUUAGGGCACAAAAAUGCUGCAGUACUAAAAGUGUUGUUCAAGUUCUCAAUUCUGUUAACAAUUUAAAAUUUCAUUAAUUGUGUUUAAUAUCAAUGAAUCUCAAAAGGCUCCUGUGGCCAUAUUAGUUGAAAAUAGACUCUAUUUGCAUACAUUAUUUAACCUAAGAGUACCCUGUGUUCCCUUACCAUUUAAUUAAUUCUAACUAGUCAAAUAUUAAUUCUCAUCUCACAAAUCAUUACACAGGAAGAUAUCAAUUAUUCAAGUAAAAUACAAGCCCUACAAUCUUUAAAAAUUAGCUUUUUAAGUAAAAACAAAAAAGAUAAGCACAAGACUUUGCAAGCAUAACCACAAUCAUCGUCUAACACUGAGUUGCCUACAAGGAAGUUUGUCCCUUCCUAUGGUAACAGCCUUGGUCCACUAUAAAGUUAGUGCAAACAAGUGAGGGUAUAAAAAAAAUAUAAACUCUGGAUUUUUAAGGAUUUCAUUUUGUUAUACUCUUUUUGGAUAAUUCAUUCCAUACGGAAAUUUGUUUAUUGUUCAUAAAUAUCAUAAUGUUCAUUUCAAAAAUUGUCAUCAUCUUAAUGGCUAUCUUACACUUUUUUCUUUUGGAGGGUUGUCAGGCAUCCAUCCAUUUUCCUUUUUAAGAAGAACGUUAUGUGUAUUAGGCUACUAAACCCAAUUUUUACAUUAUUUUUAGUGAUCAAAGGUUUCUUAUACAAGUGACUCACAGUACUGAAUUAUGUCAAUCUCUCAUUUGAGGAAGGAAAUGCAGUUCAAGUUAGCAUUGAAAGUGCUUGGCUGUAGAGGACAUCUAACAGAGCUGCUGUGUUUAUUGGCUCCAGAACAACUUAUUAUAGGUUUUUCAGUUCUCUUUAGGGUAGAAUAUGAGAUGGGGUUAGUCUUCAUCAAAAUGCAGUAUCUAGUACUUUAACUCAAGUGCUGGAAGACAGCAAAUCUUGGAAGUUUAUUAUAAAAAAAAAGAUAUUUCGGAUAGAUUCCUUUGUUGUCAUGGGCAAAACUGUAUAUCCACACAGGACUGUUAGACUCCUAGCCAAUAAAAUCAGACUAAGUCCAUAGGGAUAAGGUAAGUGUAAAUAAAUUUCCAUUGGGGAAGACAGGGCUCAUGGCCCGUGUAUCAAGGUCUCAAGCUGAGCACUGGAGAACUCCAGGGAACACUGUUCAUACAGGCUAUGGUGCGAAGGAAUUCCCCUGUAGGUAUGCCAUACUUCAGUCUCUUAAGAAGCUGAUUAGCAUGAAAGACUGGAAGCUGAUUAUGGACAAUUCAGUUUGAAUUAUUCCUUUCUAUUUUGCUUUGAACUUUCCUCAUACACUUAAGACAUGAGUAAAUCACAUUGAAAAACAUUUGCCAAUUGAAUAUUUUAAAGAUUCAAGAGGUAGCAUGAUAUUGUGCAAUGAACACUGGCCUGACAAUGAGAAGAUAAAAACUCCUUUCCAAUGUGGCCACUUUAUCACUUGAGUGUUUUCUGAGAAAUCGUUUAAGUUUUCUGAGGCUCAGUUCCCUAACUCACUAAAAAGGAGAAUUAGCAGCCUGGCAUGGUGGCUCAUGCCUGUAAUCCCAACACUCUGGGAGGCCGAGGAGGGUAGAUCACCUGAGGUCAGGAGUUUGAGAUCAACCUGUCCAACAUGGCAAAACCCCGUCUCUACUAAAAAUACAAAAAUUAGCUGGGCACGGUGGUGGAUGCCUGUAAUCCCAGCUACUCAGGAGGCUGAGGCAGGAGAACUGCUUGAACCCGGGAGGCAGAGGUUGCAGUGAACCCUAAUUGCGCCAUUGCACUUCAGCCUGGGUGACAAGAGUGAAACUCCGUCUCAAAAAAAAAAAAAAAAAAAAAAAAAGCUUAUUUCUAAGAUAUCAUCUAUUCUCCAAUUUUGUACUUUUAUGAAUUCUGGCAAGAAGGGUUGGAGUGAUUCUGGGAAAGAACAUCCUUAGGCUGCCUUGAAGGGAGAAGAUAAUAUAGCUUUUCAUUUAAAAAAUGCUGAUAUCUACUUGCAAUCAAAAUCUAAGAAAACAUUCAAAAUGUGGUACUUUGCUUGAGGCAGAAUUUCUAACUAUCUUGUGAAUUAAUGAUAAGAUAAAUGAAAUGGCCAAACAAUCCCUUCAGUUUACCAGGUAAGAGGAUACAAAACUCCACACUUGUGCACAAUGAAGCUAUUCAGGUUUUGAUGAUACUUUACAGUGUCCCCUAUUAACAUUCAGCUUUUAAAACUAGUAUUCUGAUAAAGUGACAUUGUAUUAUUAGUUUUUUAUGGCAGUAGUAACUUAGCACUUAAUUAAUCCAGUCAUCUGUGACAUACAUAAACUUAUCCUGUAAAAAAGA